AGCAGCAGCCACGGGAAUACGAAGGGUGCAAGCGUUACUCGGAAUUACUGGGCGUAAAGCGUGCGUAGGUGGUGGUUUAAGUCCGUUGUGAAAGCCCUGGGCUCAACCUGGGAAUUGCAGUGGAUACUGGGUCACUAGAGUGUGGUAGAGGAUAGUGGAAUUUCCGGUGUAGCAGUGAAUUGCGUAGAGAUCGGAAGGAACAUCUGUGGCGAAGGCGACUAUCUGGGCCAACACUGACACUGAGGCACGAAAGCGUGGGGAGCAAACAGGAUUAGAUACCCGAGUAGUCCCUGUCUCUUAUAC
rnacentral:rRNA from 1 species